rnacentral:rRNA from 1 species
ACUUUCAACAACGGAUCUCUUGGCUCUCGCAUCGAUGAAGAACGUAGCGAAGUGCGAUAAGUAGUGUGAAUUGCAGAAUUCCGUGAAUCAUCGAAUCUUGAACGCAAAUUGCGCUCCCUGGCAACCGGGGAGUAUGCCUGUUUGAGGGUCAGU